rnacentral:tRNA from 14 species
UUGUUAGUCUAGUGGUAUGAUUCUCGUUUUGGGAACGAGAGGUCCCGGGUUCGAUU